AGAGAAGAGAGAGAAAC
rnacentral:sRNA from 1 species